GAUGAACGCUGGCGGCGUGCCUAAUACAUGCAAGUCGAGCGAACGGACGAGAAGCUUGCUUCUCUGAUGUUAGCGGCGGACGGGUGAGUAACACGUGGAUAACCUACCUAUAAGACUGGGAUAACUUCGGGAAACCGGAGCUAAUACCGGAUAAUAUUUUGAACCGCAUGGUUCAAAAGUGAAAGACGGUCUUGCUGUCACUUAUGGAUGGAUCCGCGCUGCAUUAGCUAGUUGGUAAGGUAACGGCUUACCAAGGCAACGAUGCAUAGCCGACCUGAGAGGGUGAUCGGCCACACUGGAACUGAGACACGGUCCAGACUCCUACGGGAGGCAGCAGUAGGGAAUCUUCCGCAAUGGGCGAAAGCCUGACGGAGCAACGCCGCGUGAGUGAUGAAGGUCUUCGGAUCGUAAAACUCUGUUAUUAGGGAAGAACAUAUGUGUAAGUAACUGUGCACAUCUUGACGGUACCUAAUCAGAAAGCCACGGCUAACUACGUGCCAGCAGCCGCGGUAAUACGUAGGUGGCAAGCGUUAUCCGGAAUUAUUGGGCGUAAAGCGCGCGUAGGCGGUUUUUUAGGUCUGAUGUGAAAGCCCACGGCUCAACCGUGGAGGGUCAUUGGAAACUGGAAAACUUGAGUGCAGAAGAGGAAAGUGGAAUUCCAUGUGUAGCGGUGAAAUGCGCAGAGAUAUGGAGGAACACCAGUGGCGAAGGCGACUUUCUGGUCUGUAACUGACGCUGAUGUGCGAAAGCGUGGGGAUCAAACAGGAUUAGAUACCCUGGUAGUCCACGCCGUAAACGAUGAGUGCUAAGUGUUAGGGGGUUUCCGCCCCUUAGUGCUGCAGCUAACGCAUUAAGCACUCCGCCUGGGGAGUACGACCGCAAGGUUGAAACUCAAAGGAAUUGACGGGGACCCGCACAAGCGGUGGAGCAUGUGGUUUAAUUCGAAGCAACGCGAAGAACCUUACCAAAUCUUGACAUCCUUUGACAACUCUAGAGAUAGAGCCUUCCCCUUCGGGGGACAAAGUGACAGGUGGUGCAUGGUUGUCGUCAGCUCGUGUCGUGAGAUGUUGGGUUAAGUCCCGCAACGAGCGCAACCCUUAAGCUUAGUUGCCAUCAUUAAGUUGGGCACUCUAAGUUGACUGCCGGUGACAAACCGGAGGAAGGUGGGGAUGACGUCAAAUCAUCAUGCCCCUUAUGAUUUGGGCUACACACGUGCUACAAUGGACAAUACAAAGGGCAGCGAAACCGCGAGGUCAAGCAAAUCCCAUAAAGUUGUUCUCAGUUCGGAUUGUAGUCUGCAACUCGACUACAUGAAGCUGGAAUCGCUAGUAAUCGUAGAUCAGCAUGCUACGGUGAAUACGUUCCCGGGUCU
rnacentral:rRNA from 1 species